rnacentral:snRNA from 1 species
GUGGUAAACCCAACACUAACACUCAUCUAGAAUUUGAAACGAUACAGAGAAGAUUAGCAUGGCCCCUGCACUAAGGAUGACACGCUCAAUCAAAGAGAAGCUACCAAUUUUU